ensembl:lncRNA
CAGUGGUUAAUUCUUUAUUACAGUGUGUUUCCAGCUGCAACAGAGUAUAAAUAUCACCUUUUCCCGUGUGGGUUAUUUUAAUUUUUUUUCCGUAAUGUCAAGGAUUUAUUAUUUCUAAAUGCAAUCGUGACAUCAGUUGCAAUGGGAACAUUUUUAUCUUUGCCCCGUGUUCUGAAUAGACAAAGCUCUGUAAGGCAAACAGGGAGCUUUCAAAAGCGAGCUUAUCUGUGCGCUGGACAAGGUGUGGCCGCUCUCGGGGCCUCCCGCCCCACGCAGAUGCUGCUUUUACAGCCCCUCACAGUGGUCCUCAGUCUAUAAUGUGAGGAAAGUUUUAUAGCUCUAUAUUUACACAUUUUUAGCGCCGCCGUAUACUUUGUUUUCAAUGGAGACAUUAUAUUUAGAAGUUGCCCAAAAUGUGGAGCGUGUGUUCAAUUUCUUUUGCGUAAUCUGUCAAGACUAAUUUGAUUCGAGACCGGUGCCUUUUUUUUUCCCCCCAUCUGUUUGGAAAAGUGCAGUUGUAGAGACAUCAGUCAUGUAACACUUUCUGCGGAACAGCUUUACUGACAGUUGGGAGUUGUCAGUAACCAUGUGCACUUCAAGCUCCCAGUCUGGCUGUGGAGAGAAAAACCCUCUGACACACCAUUUCCAGAGAGCAGCAGAACGCCGGGCCGGCAGCACCCGCACCAUCUUCGGAGUGACCUCCUGCCUCAGGCCCAGAGUUACUCGUGCUUCGGGCCUUGGAGCUGCAGAACCGCCUGUGCAUGGGACCAACCUGCACCGCGCCUAACGGCAUUCGCUCCCCGGUAAUUUAUUUCACUAGUUAACCAUCGUUAUGUACGUAACUGUGUCUUGUUUCCUGUUUAAACUGACCUAGCUUCAGCUGCCAGUCUCUGUGAAAGCUUUAAGAAGUGCUGGAUCUCUGCUCCUCACCCACCUACGGAGAGACCAAGGCCUGUGCCGUGCGUAGGAAGAUGCCCCAGACAGCAAAACAGACCCAUGGAGAGAAAACCACGACCCUGGGGCCAAUGCCUGCAGCUCUGCUUUGAGAGCUCCUUCAGUGCCGUGGCAGAGCCAGAAGCAGGGGCUGGCAGGACUCAGGGCAGGCUCACAGGGCUCAGCAUGGGUUCAAAGGGCUCUCUGGUGUUGUCUGCAUGCAGGAGGUGUAGGAAUCACAGAAUCACAGAAUUGUAGGGGCUGGAACUCUAGCGAUCAUCGAGUCCACUCCUCCUCCCAAAGCAGGCUCCCUAGACCAGGUUGCACAGGUAGGUGUCCAGGUGGGUCUUGAAUGUCUCCAGAGAAGGAGACUCCACAACCUCUCUGGGCAGCCCAUUCCAGUGCUCUGUCACCCUUACUGUGAAGAAGUUCUUACGCACAUUUGUGCAGAACUUCCUAUGGUUCAGUUUGUGGCCAUUUCCCCAUGUCCUAUCACCAUGCGCUGCUGAAGGAAGGGACACCAAAGUGCCUGUGGAAGCUGAAUGGCAGCUGGUCAUUAGUGGGGUUCUGCAGGGCUCUGCAUUAGGGACAGUUCUCUUCAGUGUUUUCAUUAAUGACUUGGAUGCAGGACUUGAAGGUACACUAAGUCAGUUUGCAGAUGAUGUUAAACUGACAGGAGCUGUUGACUCUUUUGAGGUUAGAGAAGCACUGCAGAGAGAUGCUGACAAACUGGAAGGCUGAGCAGUCACCAACCACGUGAGGUCUGGAGGAUGAGACGACAGAAUGCAGACCCACAGAGAGGGAUCUGGGGAUUUAGGCUGACAGCAAGAUGAAUGUGAGCCAGCAGUGUGCCCUGGGAUGUAUCAGAGGGAGAUGAGAGCAAAACUUUGCACUAAUGAAAGUACCACACCAACGUUAAUACCAGGCUGAUCGGGCAGAAUUUUGUUCUUUAUUGGUUAAUCCCCCAAAGCCCCGAACAAUCACGCACAGAACAGACUCUUUGGAAUGAGAGUCACAUAUUAACUUGAUGUUUAUAUUUUGCUCCGACUCCAGUUGAGUGAGCUUUUCUCCCCUCCCUCUCCCACUCGUUGCUUUGACCAGGGCUGUACAUAAAAGAAGAUCAGAAGCGAAGAUCGUAAUUCUUUGUUUUAAAUCAAAAAUCCUGAUGCAGGACUUGGGCUGCUCCCGCUGCCAGAAGGUAGAGCAGCCUGUCUGAACGGUGACUCAUGGCCCUGUGCCACAUCACAAAUAAUGCUCGUAUUAAUCUCUCCUUGCUUU